UACGUAGGGUGCAAGCGUUGUCCGGAAUUAUUGGGCGUAAAGAGCUCGUAGGCGGUUUGUCGCGUCUGCUGUGAAAACUCGGGGCUUAACUCCGGGCCUGCAGUGGGUACGGGCAGACUAGAGUGUGGUAGGGGAGAUCGGAAUUCCUGGUGUAGCGGUGAAAUGCGCAGAUAUCAGGAGGAACACCGGUGGCGAAGGCGGAUCUCUGGGCCAUUACUGACGCUGAGGAGCGAAAGCGUGGGGAGCGAACAGG
rnacentral:rRNA from 1 species